GUUCCUAUCGAUAGAAAGUUGUUUGAUUUUUCUGAACUUUUUGGAAGGAUAAUGCCUCGUAUUAAAUAUGUGCAGUUGGAGCUGUUUCCUUUUGAACUUGGAGAUUCGGCUGAUUUAUUAUACUCAUGGAUCAAGGCUUGCAAACUUCAAGCUCUGGACGAUCAUGGCCAAAUACGACAACUAAAGGACGAAACUAAAUAGUAACAUAGUAAACCGUAACGGAACAAGAAUAAGGAUCGGAGCAAGAAUACAGUCUUCCAAGAAGUCUUUGCAUGAGCAAGAAUUUGAACGUCUGCUGGAAUUUGAUUACCUAUUCAUGCCGUCGGAAAAGAUCGGUUUCAAAAAGAUUCAACUUCUCAAGAUCCCGUCUACGUCGUUGCUGAGUUUUGUAAACUCAGUCAAGAUAAAGACGAUUCCUUGGCAACUGUGGACCAUCGGAUAAGUAAAAAUGUUAAGCCUGAUGGCUGUAGUAGAAAAAUGUUAAAUUUGUGUUGUGCAUUAGAAAUGUAUUUUGCUAUGUUAUAAAUCUCAAUUAACUAACAUCAAUACAGUGUCGUUUGAAAGGAUGUUAAUAUUUUCUUAAUCACUUUUAAUUCAGUAAACUAUAUGGAUGCAGCAGAGAACUCCUAUUGGAAUUUAAAUUCGCAAUCUCAUUAAAAGUUUCUAAUUAAAAUGCGGGCUGUAAACUUAAAAUAUUAAAAGGAUGUUGCUGUAUUUUGACUCUUUAAAAUUAGAUUGCAUGUUUGAAUAUUAAAUUGAAUUUUAAAUAGACAACUUACUGAUUUGAUAGUUCUUCAAUGUAAAUUCGUCAUUUAACAUGUAUAUAAAAUGGUAAUAUAGCUUCAUUUAUGGUUGAACUUUCCCAUUUAAAGGCUCACAUUAAAAUGCAUAUUUUUACAGAAAGACUUAAACCUACACUUACAUUUUAAUAAUUUGAAAUGAGUAACACACGGCGGAUGUUUCAUAAACGACCACAAACAAAACUGAAUAGUGCACACAACACAUACUGUGAUAAAACUUUGGUAGUAAAGUGUUAUCUUAAACGAGAGUAAUUUGUCCCAAAUAAAAAGGAACAGCACUGGCAUAUACCGUUGAUCACUUCAAUCGCAUUCCUUUAAAGUGUGACACAAGCUUUGCGUAUAUAUUCGCAAUUUAAUCUACUUCCCUAACCUGAACUAUUUAAAAAUAAAGUAACCAUGCGUCAUGAAUAACUUUGGUUAAGAAUAUGUUAUAGUACUGAAUUGCUAAUUGCUAGGUAAAUUUAAUUUAAGGUAAUACGAUCUAUGCAAUAACUUUAAACUCUAAUUUGUCGGUAACCACCAUCGCUUAACUGAACAUUCCAAAUCGCAAUAGGGGGAGUAAUUUACGGUUUUCUUGUAUUCUGCGAGUUGACUAUAUUUUAACGCAACAGAAAAUUAGACGACACUCCGAACAUUCUAUUCAAAGAGGUUCUAACAGUCAGAAAUCGUCCUUAAAAUCGGUGUAUAAUUUUUAUAAACGCAACUAAUUUGUAGAUCGUCGUUAAUUAAAACUUGGUUACUUUCUAAAUUUGAUAAUAACAAAAGCAGAUCGCGUCUUUUCAAAAUUGAAACCACGAGUUAAACCAUAGGAAUUCCGGAUUAUUUCCAGAAUCUGUUGAAAGUAUUAAGUUAAGCUUCUUCAGAAAUAUGUACACUGACGCAAUUUGGUCGAAACUUGGCCCGAGCGUCAAACUUCAAAACAUUUCGAGAAGGGAUGCGACAGUUGUGGGAUAUUAAAGGGUCGGUGCGCGCACCAUAGAAUAGGAUUUCAAACGAAAGUCGAAGGGUGGAUGGGAUGGAAAGGGUGGUGGGAUGCCAGCCGGCUGGUGAUAGGUCGGGACAUGUUGGAAUGGUCAGGACGGUACUAGGUGGGGAAGAAAUUAACUGGAUCUUUCAACAGUAUUUCGGAAAUAUCUGAAUUUCUAUGAACUCGUGAUAGAAAUUCUAUCUUAACUUUAACUAUUAAUUUCAAUGUCUUUGUUUCCGAAGAAAUUUCAGGAAAUGAACGUGUCGGAAAUUCUAAUUUAUUAUUACUGUAAGCUCUAAAAAUUUUAAGGUUGCUUUAUUAGCUUAGUUCCAUGUAUAAUUGGAAAUUGCCACUAUAGUUGGAUUUCUUUUAAUUGUAUUAAAGAUUUCUCUUGUAUGUUAAUUUCGAUGUAUUCCCUUCACUUAAACACUAACUGUAUGCCGUAUAAGUACUGAGCAACAAAAAAAUUUGAAACGGUUAUUAAAUAGUCCAUUUAAUCAAUUUUCCUCAAAUUCGAUAUUAAAGGCGAUAAUGAUAUUAAAUCUGAAUUCUUUCGUAAUGUUAAACUAACUUUUCUUAGAAUAGUGUUCAAUAUUCUUGUACCAUAAUGGAAAAAUCGAUUAAUAAAACCUGCACAUAAUGAGAAUUUGUGAAGUAGAAACGCUUGAGUCCCUUAAACUCAGAGUACCUCGAUACAGACACGCUAAAUGAUAUAUUAAUAAUUAAAUAGUGCUAUACAAUAUUGACUUUUACAACUAAUCUUUUGAAUCGCCCACAAAUACACCGUUUCAACGCAUUCGGUCACAAUUUUACCGUCACGUCCUCGUAUAAAUCCAACAAAUUUCGGAUUCAAUUUUUGGGGUUGAAAUUUAACGUUUUUUGGAAUAAAUGUCUAAAAUUUUGUUAGGUCAGAGUCGAAAUACAGCGUACAAUGCGAAAUUUCACUUCAGAAAAUUAUUUAAUCUUAAAUAAAGACUUCACUCCUUAAGACUAAUCUUUUAUUAUAGACUUCUAUAGUAAUCGGAUAUUUUAUUCCACGCGAAUUUAGCAAGAAUCUUUUCAAACGAUGCUGGAAAUUUAUACUACACCGUGUUGCAUUGGCUGAAAGAGCAUAAACUGAAGCAAAUAAAAUCUGUUGCUUUUAAAAUGAGAAUGUUAUGUAUUCAGUCUGAAAUUAGUUUGACUAGAGUGGUGUACUAUGGUAAAUGGAAAUCUAAAUGUUUUUAAAUAUGUUUAUCAUAAGAUUGAUUCAAUACUAGAAAUUUUGAGCUUUGUUCCAGCUAAUGUAUCAAUAUGGGAUGUUGAUGAUAUCAAUUGUUACACAAAUCGGAAGCUCCGGAAAUGAAGACGGUGAUGCUCAAUUGCGCUGGUCAGUGUUCGAUAUUCAAAAACAGUGAAAUUUCUUAUGCUAUCUAUAGGAGUCUAACUGUAAAAUCAUAUGGAUAGGGCCACAUGACUUCAUUGUCCUAUUCUUCAUAAAUUGGGCAAUAGUUUAUUUGAUCAAAUGGUUCCGAAACUUUUUGAAUUCCGUUUAAGAUGCAAUUUUAAAUCGCCAAUUAUUCAGCGAGAUUUCUGCUAGUUUCCAGGUGCAUGUCUUCUGUCAGUGAAGUAUCGCAUUUCCCCUUCUCGCUACAUCUUUGGGCAGAUAUCAUGCAUUUUAAAAUUUGAAUUAAACACAAUUUUUUCAAUCAUUAAAUCUUUAGAAGAUUCUUAUUGUUCCAAAGCUUAGCAGAAAUUUAACAUAAAAGAGGAUGGAUAAGUGUUCUUGCAUCUUAUGCUUACCAAAGAUUGAACAAGUUUGUCUUUAGUGGAAUACCUCUGUAUAGUCUCGGGAUAGAUUUACUAUGGUUUACUAAUUUUGCCUUUAUUGCACUUAAAAUAAAUCCAAGGAGCUCCCUUAAUUGACAAUAACAAAUCUAUCUGCUCAGAUUAGCAGUAUGGUCAUUUACUGGAUUCGUAAACAAAAAUGGUCAAUGAGAUUGGAUAUAGAAUCCAUAAGCAAAACGAAUAGCAUUAUGGAUAUUCCAUGCCAAUUCUGAGAACAAGUCGAAUUUUGAUUUAUUCCUUGCAACUCAAGAUUGCAAGCAUAAAUUGCAUAUUUCGCUCAAUUUUCUGGGAAUUCGACAAAUCCAUCUUAUUAAAGCUAUCCUCUGUUUCUGCACAAUGGCCUUCAUGGUGUGCAUUAAUUCCUUCCAAACUUUCUUGGCUGUAAAGUUCGAUCUUGAUGUCGAUUCUGUGAACUCGAGUGGUAAUAGUAGCUUCAUGUGAAAUCGAAGAUCUGAAUUUCUAGUCAUGCUUAUUUACGUACUUCACACUAGUUCAUUACUUUAGAUGGUGCCAUCCUAAUUCAAUUAUCGUGCUUCCCUACCUCAAUAUUGAAGCAGUCGAUCACAUUCAAAAUGGUACUGAAGCUUUCAAUUUAUAGGAUGGUUUUCUAGAAAAGCUUUAAAUAUUUUUCUCGUAAUACAUGGAUUUCCGACUCCAAGUUGAUUUUUUAUACGAUUUGAAUCCAGACGGAAAAGACUCAUUUGGUAUUCUGUAUUUGUAACAUUUAUAGGAUAAUCGGAUAUUUAUUGCGAAAAUUGAGUUCUUAAGUAUGCAAUUAGUUAACUUAAAUAUUUUUCCAGGAGCAAAUUUGGUGCCUACGAAAUCGAUCAGAUAAGCUUUUUCUAUUCAGAUAAAUUGGUAUUUAUUGCCUUAAACUAUUCACACAUUAAGCCUGAAAAGUUAAAUUAGUCUGAAGUUUUCUUAACACUUCAUUCUUUAUAAAUUAAGAUUUAGAUCCAAUCCCUUACAGUAUAAGUUUCGCACAAGAUUUCUCGAAAUGUUAAUCCUUGAAUUAUCCGUGGAUCAACUUCAUUCCUUUUUACUAUCCCUUUUUAUAAAAUGAAACGUUGCAUUUUAAUCUUCAGUGAGGAUAUUUCUUGCUUAUAUUUAAGGUCAUUUGCCGAUAUUAAAUUUCCUCUGAUUAAGGAAGAUUCGAUACAAGAUUAUAAGACUAAAUUAUGAAACUUGGAGCAAACCUAAUCGGGAAUAUCGCCUCCAUAGACUUGAGACUAUACCGAAUCCAAACGCAAUAUAAGCCUGUAAUGUAUCCUAGUGUCAAAAGUAAAAUUAAAUGAAUAAAACACAAGCGAGAUGGAAAACAAUACAAUUUCUCCAAGUCCUAUUAAACUUGCUAUCAUAAGCACUUGUAAAUGAAUAGAUUUUGCUUAGUUAAAAACUUCAGUAAACAUAGAUUAUGAACCGAUGAAUCAAAUUGUUAUUUUGGUUUGUGACUUGCACGCUGGUGUUUACUUGCACCCCUUUUAUCAAAUGGACAUGCAAUAUUCAGUUGAGUACAAACCAAUAGAUGCCGAUAGCAGUCUAAGUUUUAUUCAAAAUUCUCUUAAUGAAUCAUAUCCUAGAUUCUCGAAAUAACAUUCUGGUACCCGACGUUAGCCCUUAUUAGUUGCUUGUAGUAUCAAUUGGCAGUUGAGAAAAUACAUGGAUUUAUAACGUGCAUUUCCAUUUUCGUUUGAAUGGAGUAAUUCUUAGAUCAGGUUUAAAGUUGAGGAUUGCAUGAAACUUGAAACAUUAUGUAUGAGAAACUGAAUAGUGCCUUAUGUUCUGGUGUAUAGAUUAAGCGAAGUAGGGUUUUUGAAUUUGCCGUUUACUCUGGCCAACUACAUAGUUUUGUUCCUACUUUGUUAUCUUUUGCGAUAGUUAAGUAAAUCGGAAGCAAGAGUUUGCUGUUCAUGGAGCCAUAUCAAGCCCAUAGAGAAACUAAAGUAGCAAUUUUCUUGACUCGCUUCCAAGUACGUGUAUUAAAUGCAUCAGAACAUGCACCGUUAUCUGCGGGCAAUUUUCAUGAUCAUAUUUACAAGCUCAAGACUUUUAAUUCAGAUGUGAAAGAAAAUACAGCUAUCAAAUAUUGCGAAAUUAUUCUAGAAUGCCCCAAUUUUCAGCAUAAGCAUUGCUAAUUGCUUGUACAUCAUAGCUAUGAAUAAGAAUGCUCAUGUUAUCCAGAAACCUGAACCUGGUUAUAGAGAACAGGAAUACUAAGUGAAAUAGACGGAUUAUCUUGUGUAUAGAAGUGUACAGCAUGCUUCUGUCUUCUAGUCUGACUUCUACAGUAACAUGAAGGGCAGUUUUAUCAAGACAUUGAUAGUUGGUGGAGAUCAAAUUAAUAUAUUCAAAUCUACAGUUGCUUGUACUUUUGAAAUUGUAUAUAGGAAGAUAUUUAAUUCUAUCUUGACUUUAAAUGUUCUAAUUAUAAAUAUAUUGCGAAAACAUGCAAGAGUGUGUGUGCAUAUAGCCACAUAUUAGAGCGAAGGUUCGAGAGUAGUGGACGAUAGCUGUAAAAUAUCUUCCAAAUAAUGGAUUGCUUCAGACUGAACAAUUCCACUUCAAAGCAAUAAGAUUUUCCGCAACCAUAUGUAGUCUAUUCAUAAUUUUUAACGUCUGAGGUCAACUAGUACCUCAUAAUUUUUACGAUGUCUUUACUGCUUGUUGUUGGUUUUUACCUUGGCAUGUUUUCUUUAAAUCGGUGUUUUAAUAAUUGACGAUUCGUUAUAUUGCAUUGGCUGUCCAGAUUUAGAUUGUAAGGUAAAAAGAAACGGGUUACGAAAAAGUUUUGCAACUAUUGCCUUAUCCGGCUAGUGCUUUAUAGUUAGCAUACUUGUAUUCAUGAAUCAUGCUUCAACUGGUAGAAAUGAAGCCUCAUCAAAAGGAACUUGUAUGCAUGUGUUCCUCUUCCUUCAAAGUAGUUAAUCUAAGACGGUUUUUUCUUCGAAUAAUUUUUAAUUCAGAAAUACUACUAUGUGAAAAUUUAAAGAUCCAACAUUUUGUUCUUAAUUUAAAAGGUUAGGAAAUAACUAAGGAUUCAUUUUGGGUGUUCCAAAUUAUCUUUAAAUAGUACAGUAGUCUAUAGUUUUAGAUACUAGUUAUGGCCAUUUUUAGUCUUAGAUAUUAUAUAGCAUUAGAUUGUAAGUUUAAUAAAUUAACUUCUAUUAACAUUCUUUAACUGAACUCCCAAGAUGAAAUUCUUUCGUAGGGUUACAUGGAAGACUUUUGAGUGGCUCUGCCGGCAAGCCAAUCAAUCGUCUUCUGCAAAUAGUUUGAAACGCGAUGAUUGAUAACAAUGAUCAAAAUUUUAGGCUUUCACGAUUAUCUAAAUUCUACUUAAAUCGAUACUUCGUUAAAAUUUAUUUGCCUUUAAAUCCAUUUUUAAAUAAAACGGUGAAUUUAUUGCGUUUUUAUAAAUAAAGCCUUUAAAAUUUCUUUGAGUGAUGGGUUUUAUCUUGUCAAUUAAUAGCUCAAAUUUUCAAUUCUCAACUCGUGACCUCAUACAUUUUAACAGGGUCAAUUUCUAAGGAGGACGUGACUCAUGUGUGCAAGAUAUUUGGCAAUUUUAAAAUUUACCAGAAUGGACGUGGCUCAUGAAUACAAGUUUGUUAGCUUUAACGCAUCGGCUUGAUAAAGUGAUUGUUGUGACUCUUUUUCAUAUUCGUUUCAAUUUCUCACUUACCUACCUUAACACCAGCGUUUGGGUUUAAUAUGUGUAUAUUGUAGUUGUCGUUAACUUUAGGUGGGAGAUGAAUAAAUGACCGAUGUUUUAUCGGAGCUUUCAGGUUCAUAACUGAAACUAAUUGGCAUAUUCAUCAGUAUUUGUGGUCGUCUCUUCUAUAUGUGUUAUGUAAAUUCACGAGUAGCUGUUUUUACCAAUUUUCAAUUCCAUUCUGUAUAAGUAAUUGGGUUUUAAGCUUGACAGUACUGCAGGUUUUAUCUACUAGCUGUGUAUUUAAUUUUCCACUUGAUUUUAUAACGCUCAGUUUGAUACGCAGCUCGUUAUUGUAACGAUUAGUUUUGAAGAAUUCUUUGAAAAGUAGAGAAAUUCUUGAUAAAGUAGAGAAAUGGCUUAUAUCAAUGUUUUAAACAACUGCUUAGUUCUGGAUUGUUAUCUGUAAAAGUUAGAUCCUAAAUUAUCGUGCAAUAAAUUCUUUCACCUUUCAUCCACAAUCGUAUCGCAAAUUUUGCAAUCUAAAUUUUUAGAUCACAUUAGCCAAUUGAGUUGAACUUCAAAUAGCAUAUGAAUGAAUGUGUCCAUUAUCUAAUUAGCUUGCAGUCAUUAUUGGGAGCUAGAAUCUAAAUUCAUUUUUCAUCGUUCGAGCGUAAAGUGAAAUCAAAAUCGAUGCAAAAUUUCCAUGCAUCUUAAGUUUUGAUCGCCUGUCAUACCGAAUUGAAUUUUAAUGCAACAGACUAAACUGUCAAGGGUGUAUUCCUUGGAUCCAAAAUCUUUUUGAAUCAAAACUAAAUAUUUGAAGUAUAGAUUAAUCUAGUUUUUAAUUAUGAAAUAAAAUUUUAGGUUCGUGUCAAUUUUGGAUAAUUUAAAUGUAGCUCUUGCAUGAUCACUUUAGUGGUUCAAAAACUCGGCCUUCUUAUUAAAAAGUUACUUUGGGCCAUCCUGGAUAUUACUUGCUUACUUUUGUUCUCUAAAAGUGGUAGUAAAACGUUCAUUACUCAAGGCGGCAAAUUAAUUGAAGAAAGCGCAAGUGACUUAUUCUGCAAAAUAAAAUUCAGCAUGUAAUGAAGUAUUUAGUCGUAGAUUUAUUGUGAAGUCUUUUGUCUGAGCUAAUUAUAUUUGGAGGUAUGGCUUGCAUUUCGAAUCAUCUUUAUCUGGCAGAUUAAAAUUGAGUUUUCUCCGGCAGUCGUCUUGAGGCUGGAGGUUGUGUGCCAAAGUUUUGCAAGCCUGUGUCAAAAUUUUCUUCCUUCUUUUGCAUGUGUAGCCAACUGUUUCUAAUUUGUCAAGCAACUAAUACUAGGCUUGCAGUGAAUAUUAAUCUUAUAGCUCAGUGAUAUGGAAGCUUAUUUUAGAUUUUGUAACGUUUAAUUUUUUAAUCGUUGAUAUUUCAAUUUCUUUCAAAAUGCAUGCACCUUGGUAGAAUUUCGCAUACGAAAAAUGAUCAAUGCAACAUUUUCAUUUUAGAAUAUUCUUGCUUGUCAUUCUUUGACUUUUAUCCUUCUCCCUUUUUGUGUCACAUUUACAUAACUCUUAAACACUCGUAUUUUAGGAACUUAUACUGAGUUAGUAAACUAAAUAUCUUUAUAUAACAAUCGUCUUUAAGGGUUGCUUUCUUAUAAACACAUCUUCUCAUGAUGUGAAAUCCGAGCAGUAAUUGCAUUCAUUUAAUUUCCGUAUGGCGACGGUCGCUAUGGAAUUCUAAAGCAAUUAUUCAAUAUGCUAAAUUCGAAACUCGUUCUUACUUGGUGAUAAUGGUUUAUUUUUGAUUCGAAAGGUUUGAAGUACUUGAAAAGUCGUUCAUUGUUUAUCAAGUAUACGGAAUUGGCAGUGAUAAAUAUCACGAGUCAUUUCUAGACGUACUUAAUAGGCUUUAAUAUUGUACAAUUUUUAUUCCUCGUUUGUAUGCAAUACUUCUCUGAAGCGAAGGAAUUGCUUUUUUCUUGGGCCUCUCAAUAUACGCUCAUUGACAUUAACAAUCGGCAAUAAAACGAAUUUCUGAAUCGGAAAAGCUAAUAAAAUGGCCAGAUGUUCAUUUAAACAUUAGUCCAAGGAAGAGCAACAAGAUCAGUAAAUAUGAAGCAUGGAAUUGGGAAUAGUUUUCAGGAAAUAAACGCUUCAUUUAAAAAAAAUGUUUGUUCAAAAGUUAAUAUUACCGUCCCUUUGCAAUUCGUCUUUUAUGGAUGCAACUUAAUUCGAAAUGGAUCUCGGUGUAUAAUAUCGUGUAGAUCCACCAUUUCAAGUGAGAAGUGGCGAGAUUAAGUUAAUGUAUCAAGUCUUUCAAUAUAUAUAUAUCGCCAUCUUAAAUGUUCAUUUCUCUGAAUCUUUUAAAGAAUGUUGCGUGAAAUCUUAAACCUGCAACUAUUGCUGAAAAAUCCAGAUGCUGCUUGAAAUGCAUAGAAAUCCGGAUAAAGGAAUUCAAAUAAUUUCGAGCUGAAUUUACAUGUGCGGUUUGUUAUACAGCUGCUUAACGUAACUUAUCUCAAAUCAAAUAUUUGGUCUUUAAUCCUUUUUUCCGUUUGAAAUAUUAACUUGUGCAUUUGAUUGGAUUCCAACCAGCAUGGCGAGACUGCCAUAAUUUUUACAAUAUAUUCAGUAAGAUUUUUAAAAUUGGUUGUCUUUGGAUUUGUCCUGAAAUUUGAUUCUUGAUGUUACAAUAGAUGUCGUAAACUCGACCAUACUAUAGAUAUUCAAAUAUUGCUGAUCCUAUUCAAUACUUAUUCUAUGUCUGCUCUACAGGACACCGCAAUUAAUGAAAAUAUUUCUAGGCACUCAAGUUGAACGCUAUAAAAUUCUGGGCUUUUAUUAGUCUAAAAGCUGAAGGUCAUCAGAAAAAUGCAGUUUCACAUAUCACUUCUGUAAAGUCAUUCAGAUAAUUUGCUUUGGAGCAUAAUCUCUUAACUAUCGAUGGUUACCUUUACCAUAAAUAUUUGAAAUAUUGUCAGUCAUAUUGAGAUUUUAGGUUUGUGCUGAUCGCCACCUAUGGACCUUGUAUCGAAAUAAAAACUAUAAGCACAUCUUGUUGAAUGGCACACAUAAAGGGCUUCAGCAGUCAGUGAUCAAUCUUGAUACUUAAUUGGUUAAAAUGAUUAAGCUUCCUUAAAUUAUAAGGAAUUAAUAAAUUUUUGAGAUUUGUAAACAAAGAUUAGAACAGUAUUUCCAUGCCUGCCUUUUGUGCCUUCAAACUGUUGAAUUUGACUUUAUGACCAAAAGUGUAUCUAAUUGAGAUAUUGUUGAAUAGAUAUUUAGAUAUUGCUCCCUAGUCUGGGGGAAAAUCUGUCGCAUUGUUUUUCUUUGUAAUUGGAUGUCUUGAGGUGGUCCGUGCUUUCUGUACGUCUUAAUUGCUCAUUUAGAACCCUCGGCAUGUCCGUGUGUUAAGCCACCUUACUCCAAAUUCAUAUUCUUUGUUCCACUUUGGUAUGGAAACAUUCUUCACCCCCCCCCUCCUUCUCUGCCUAAAACUUUAAAUGCCAAGCUGUCCUUCAAGAGUAGCUAAGGUUUACAUAUUUUUGAAAUAUGUAACUUAAUCUGGGGAUUAUCAGUAUCGAAGCGGAUUUUUCCUAAAUUGCCAUAUGAUCACAGGAGUAUCUGUUUUGAAGGAAAACAUCGUGAAAAGUGCAAUUCUCGGAACAUGCGGUGCUUUGCGAGAAUCUUUAUUCGAGUUUUUGAGACUAGCUUAGUUACGUCACGGUUCAGAUGUUCCAACUGUUCCACAACAGUUUGCUACUAGUAAACCGACACAGAUAGUCGGUAAUUAAAUUCGUAGUAAAAACAAUACUAGAUAUAUAGCCAAAUUUCAACAAGGCCAUGAUCAUAGUUUAACCUUAAUCGAAAAACCUUACUCGCAUUCAAAUUUGUAUCAAUACGGAUUUCUGACCUUGUAUCCCUAGGUUUAUGAGAUUCAUCAUGUUCUUGUAUCUCUCAAAACUCGAACCCAUUCGUCCAUCGGCCAAAUCUUUCUAUUCCGUGACUUCUUAUUCUUUCUGAGCUGCUUAUAAUGAAAAGUGUUUCUUUUAUGCAGCUCUGACUUGUGUACGAUAUUUACAGUCUGAACCGCAUUUGUAUUCAAAUUUGAAUUGAAAUAUGCCUUCAUCAGUCUAAACCAGAUCCAGUUUUGUUCACUUUCAUUCUAUCCAUUUAAAAACUUAUUUUGAAAUUUAAUAUUUUGACCUUCAUGUAUUUGUCGAACCUUACUUUGGUCUUCUGCCAAAGAAUGGAGCAUUCAAUGAUCGUACGAGGAAGGCUAACAAGUUCUGUUGCUGGCAGAAAUAUUUAACAUCCCAAAAUAUAAUAGUGGAGGGGUAUAAUCUUGCUACAUUUAUCGAGUUUAAAUACAAGGAAUUCAGAACUCAAAUUCUCCCACAUUUGUUACAAGCGAUCAACAGAUUCCUCAAACUGAUCAGAUAAAUUUCUAGAGAACUUGCUUCUAGAUCUAUAUAGUUCUGAAUUGCUUUACUUGCUUCUGUUUCCUGUCUUCUCAUUUUAGCAAGAAUUUUUCUUGGUAUGCGAAAUCGUAAGGUCUCUGAAUUGAUCGCUUUCGGAACGUAUCUACUAUCGUUGCAAGUCUCUUCCAGUGAAAGUACUUGGCAAAUAGGUACAUCAUAAAUCCCCCUUGCACUGGAAAUGCCUGGCCAAAAAUGGUUAAAUAGUGAAACGAUUUAACACAUCAGUGUAGAACUUUCUUGGUGAAACUGCAUUCUUUUAAUGAAUGCAUUUGCCAUGCUUUCUUAAUUUGGAUUUUUCUUUUCAAGAAUAUUUAUUGGAAUCGAAAUAAUGGGGAUGUUAUUUAUAGUCCCAUUUUCCGCACACAAGACCUGCGUGCAAAAUACAAACCAGGCUUCAUUUCUAAAGUGCAGUUUUAAGCUAAGAAAUCGUUAACGAAACAAUUUUUAAAUAUGGAAAAUGCCUCGUAUUUUGAUCUGUUCUGUCGGAAGGAGCUGCAGAAAAGAAUGAGUGUCACCGUGCGUCUACUUAUAUUGCUUAAUUUCCAAGUGAAUCAACCAAUUUGUUGAAUGCAACUCGUUUUCUUAUACACGUUUUGAUGUGGAAUACUGUAUUAUACUCUUUCUAAAUGUAACCAAAUGCUUUGUAAUUGCAUGAGGCGCGAAACACACUUGUGCGAAUUCCAAUGUAAUGCAUUUGGUUUCUAAACUGUUUGUAACCUAUAUAAUGCAUAUGUUAAUACCAUACUAAAUAUUUUGUCAGUGUGGAAAUACUAGAACUAUUUGAAUUAAGGAAAUUAAAAUGUUUGUAAUCGAUGGGUAAAUAUCCUCACUGUUUGCCUUGCCCUAGUUAAAACGGCAAAUUAUCAUCUAUAUAGUUUAAUAUUAAAGUACACCACUGUAAUUGUUGCAAGUGCAUUAUACUUUUAAUAGUAAGUGAAAUGGAAUUAUUUAAAAUUGAAAUGCUCUCCUCGUACUGUUUUCAAUAUUUCAUUAUUUUGAUAAAGUAUGCCCUUAUUCAAUAUCGGUUUUUGUAACUCCUGCACAGGCAUUGUAAAAAUCGCUGUUUUGUAGACUUCUAAAUUAUCAAGCAUUUAAAAUCCUAAGAAUUUGUUUUGAUCUGUAUUGUAUAUAUAUAUCAUUUUAAGAAUAACGUAUCACAAGUUUGUCUAGAUGUUAAUAUAAUUUAAUAUUGUAUUUUUGUUCAUACGUUAACAAUGAAUUUCUAUUCAAGAAUCUCUAAAAGUAUUAUAAAGUAUAUUGACUUGUUGCAUUCUAUUUACUGAAUCUUGUUACUGCUGCAGUAGCAAAAUUGAUGUUGUAAAAUCAUUUAGAUGUCAAUGCAGAUUGACUACGAAUUUUCUACGUGUGACUUGCCUACGAAUAUUAGUAUGUAAAUUUACAAUUGAACUGCACAUUUUUAAACUUUCAGAAACGCAUUAAUCUAACUAGAUGUACUAAAUUCUAAACACGUGCAACUAAAACUUCUCUUAGCAAUAAUGUAACUUCUGUUUUUCUCAAUUUUUUUCCAUUUGCAAAGUAUCUUGUGUAUUAAAUGUGUUGCAAAUAUUCACAACUUUUGGAAAUUGAGUUUUUUCCUUAAUUAUGUCAGCUUGUUUUCCUAUUUUCUCUAAAGAUGUAAAUUUCGAAAAUCGCAGUUUGAAUCAUUUUUCGAAAAUGUCUUUUUCCAAUGAAAUCUUCGACACUUAUGAAUCUAAGGUACUUUGGGUCCAAUAAAGCAAUCAACGCAAUAUGUACAACUAUUUUAUACCUUGUAUUUCAGAUUUUAUCAUUCUAAAUGACUUUGUAUUCAACAGGUCUUUUCAUGUAUUAAACGCAUUUUGCCAAGUCCAAUGGACAUUGCAAUAUUUGUAUCAAUAUCUGUAUUAUGAAUUUAUGUAACUUCAUUUAAAACUUGU